GAGAAUCACGUGUAUCUCUGAAAUAUGUGAUAGUAAUCAGAUUUACUUCUCAGUCACAAUGACUUCUUUGACUUGUGUUCUGCUCAGGGGUGUGUGACAAAGUGUCUGUGUGUGACGGUUAUGUGUGUGUAGAAUAACACUCCCCACACAGCCACCCCUUGUGUAAGUGUGUGUGUGUGUUGGUGUGUGAGAGAGACACAAGAUGUGUUGAUAGUGAUACCCAGUGUUGAAUGCUGCCAUCUAGUGGUCAUACUGAGACAGAAGGUAUGUUGAUAGGUUUCACACCAGUUCAGUAGGACAGUUCAGUACAACAGGUUUCUUACCAGUUCAAUACAACAGGUGUCAUACCAGUUCAGUAGGACAGUUCAAUACAACAGGUUUCAUACCAGUUCAAUACAACAGGUUUCAUACCAGUUCAAUACAACAGGUUUCAUACCAGUUCAAUACAACAGGUUUCAUACCAGUUCAAUACAACAGGUUUCAUACCAGUUCAAUACAACAGGUUUCUUACCAGUUCAAUACAACAGGUUUCAUACCAGUUCAGUACAACAGGUUUCUUACCAGUUCAGUAGGACAGUUAAAUACAACAGGUUUCUUACCAGUUCAAUACAACAGGUUUCUUACCAGUUCAAUACAACAGGUUUCAUACCAGUUCAGUAGGACAGUUCAAUACAACAGGUUUCAUACCAGUUCAGUAGGACAGUUCAAUACAACAGGUUUCUUACCAGUUCAGUAGGACAGUUCAAUACAACAGGUUUCUUACCAGUUCAGUAGGACAGUUCAAUACAACAGGUUUCUUACCAGUUCAGUAGGACAGUUCAAUACAACAGGUUUCAUACCAGUUCAAUACAACAGGUUUCUUACCAGUUCAAUACAACAGGUUUCAUACCAGUUCAGUAGGACAGUUCAAUACAACAGGUUUCUUACCAGUUCAAUAGAACAGGUUUCUUACCAGUUCAGUAGGACAGUUCAAUACAUCAGGUUUCAUACCAGUUCAAUAGAACAGGUUUCUUACCAGUUCAGUAGGACAGUUCAAUACAUCAGGUUUCAUACCAGUUCAAUACAACAGGUUUCUUACCAGUUCAGUAGGACAGUUCAAUACAACAGGUUUCUUACCAGUUCAAUACAACAGGUUUCAUACCAGUUCAGUAGGACAGUUCAAUACAACAGGUUUCUUACCAGUUCAAUACAACAGGUUUCUUACCAGUUCAAUACAACAGGUUUCAUACCAGUUCAAUACAACAGGUUUCAUACCAGUUCAAUACAACAGGUUUCUUACCAGUUCAGUAGGACAGUUCAAUACAACAGGUUUCUUACCAGUUCAGUAGGACAGUUCAAUACAACAGGUUUCAUACCAGUUCAAUACAACAGGUUUCUUACCAGUUCAGUAGGACAGUUCAAUAGAACAGGUUUCUUACCAGUUCAGUAGGACAGUUCAAUACAACAGGUUUCUUACCAGUUCAGUAGGACAGUUCAAUACAACAGGUUUCAUACCAGUUCAAUACAACAGGUUUCAUACCAGUUCAGUAGGACAGGUUUCUUACCAGUUCAGUAGGACAGUUCAAUACAACAGGUUUCUUACCAGUUCAGUAGGACAGUUCAAUACAACAGGUUUCAUACCAGUUCAGUAGGACAGUUCAAUACAACAGGUUUCAUACCAGUUAAAUACUACAGGUUUCAUACCAGUUCAGUAGGACAGUUCAAUACAACAGGUUUCUUACCAGUUCAUUAGGACAGUUCAAUACAACAGGUUUCUUACCAGUUCAGUAGGACAGUUCAAUACAACAGGUUUCUUACCAGUUCAAUACAACAGGUUUCAUACCAGUUCAGUAGGACAGUUCAAUACAACAGGUUUCUUACCAGUUCAGUAGGACAGUUCAAUACAACAGGUUUCAUACCAGUUCAAUACAACAGGUUUCAUACCAGUUCAAUACAACAGGUUUCAUACCAGUUCAAUACAACAGGUUUCAUACCAGUUCAAUACAACAGGUUUCAUACCAGUUCAAUACAACAGGUUUCAUACCAGUUCAAUACAACAGGUUUCAUACCAGUUCAAUACAACAGGUUUCUUACCAGUUCAAUACAACAGGUUUCUUACCAGUUCAGUAGGACAGUUCAAUACAACAGGUUUCUUACCAGUUCAAUACAACAGGUUUCUUACCAGUUCAGUAGGACAGUUCAAUACAACAGGUUUCAUACCAGUUCAGUAGGACAGUUCAAUACAACAGGUUUCAUACCAGUUCAGUAGGACAGUUCAAUAAAACAGGUUUCUUACCAGUUCAAUACAACAGGUUUCUUACCAGUUCAGUAGGACAGUUCAAUAAAACAGGUGUCUUACCAGUUCAAUACAACAGGUUUCUUACCAGUUCAGUAGGACAGUUCAAUAAAACAGGUUUCUUACCAGUUCAAUACAACAGUCUAAUGGAAAAGUAGGCCUUAGAAAAAGCAUUCCAUAUUUUCGAAGCUAUUUUCAGGUCUUUCCAGAGAUGUUCCAUCGGGUUCAAGUCCGGGCUCUGGCUGGGCCACUCAAGGACAUUCAGAGACUUGUCUCGAAGCCACUCCUGCGU